GGUAAAUGUUUCAUGAUAAUAGGUUAGGUAAAUGUUCCAUGAUAAUAGGUUAGGUAAAUGUUCCAUGAUAAUGGGUUAGGUAAAUGUUUCAUGAUAAUGGGUUAGGUAAAUGUUUCAUGAUAAGAAUUUCAUGUCUUUUGUAUUAAAGAAUUAAAUGGAUGAAAUAUGAAGUUUUAUUAAAAGAAAAAGGGGUGAAAAGAACAAAGUUUUGUCCAUCUUUGUUCAUCAUAGCUGAAAGUUAGAGAAGAGAAAGGAGAGGAGAAAGCUCUUGAGUAUUCGGUCAUUAGGAGGAGGAAAAUUGAAGGCGGUUCGUGUGUGGAUCUCGUCAGCAUAUCGCCGCAAACAGGAAAUCCCCAACCAUAGUGGGCU